AUUACUAAAUUCCGGUAUUCUGAGCGCAUGAAACGUUCCAAGUACGAGAUGCAGGAUCGAUCGUGCGGUACUGAAGAAAUGAUCUAGAAUCAUCUUCAGGAUCGCUCGUCGUCCUAUCUCGAACGCGGUGCAUGCUUGCGCAAUGAUGAAAAACGAAGAAACAUUCUGCAAAGAUACUCCCACUGCACAGAAAUUUGUACAGAAAUUGUUGUAAAUCGAAAUUCAGUAGAAAAUUCGAUGGCAAGUAAUUCAAGCUGUAAAUAAUUGUACACGUUCCAGUAAUUGCAAUAAAAGUUGUUCUUAGCCGAUUGCAUUAUUUACUAUUACCAGAGUACAUAUGCGUGUCAAAGAUAUAAUGGAAAAUUAAAAAUUGGUACAUCUGAUGAGAAAUUUCGAGAAUUCGAAACACCACGUAAUACAGUUCACUCGUUUCACGAUACUUUUGACGAUUACCUUUAUGAAGAAUUCUCGGUGGAUCAAGAGCAAAUAUAGGAGGAAAUAAUUAAUUAUUUAUUACGAUUAAUCGAGCUAUAUUUUAUACACGAAUAUUUCAAAAUCGAUCGAUCAUACAUGGAGAUUUAUUUAUAUUUUACGAAUAGUCCCUUGAAAGUUAGGCAGAUAAAAAUGUCUUUGGCGUUCGAUAUUUUUCUACAUGGGUCGAAGCAAAUAAACGAAGAAAUAACUAUUCACGACUAUUAACGAAACCCCCAAUUUCAUAAAUGAACAUUAAAAAGAUGGAUCGAUCAUACCUGGAUAUUUAUUUUACAAAUGAUGGAUCACGAGCAAGCGAACGAAGAAAUAAUCAAUUAUUCUUAUAAUUCUAUUUUAUAAACGAAUAUUUAAAAACCAAUCAACCCGUUGGUCGAUCAAUCCAAAAACCUUCUACACGGAUACUCGUAGAUAAUGGUUGAAAAAUUGGGCACAUAGAGAUAUUUUCCCACACAAACUACGAACUAUCAAGCAAGGAAAUAACUAAUUAUUCGUCACGAUUAACAAGAUAUUAAGAAAACCCUGUUUUACAAGCGGAUAUUUAAACGAUCGUUCGAUCGUGGACAAAUGUUUCUUUUAUUCAAACAUGUACGUUUAUUCAAAGUCGCUCGAUAGAUGGAUAUUAAUAUUUUCUAAAAGGAACGUUUCCAUCGGCCGAAAGAAAUUUCAAUCAUGUCUUACAGAGCUUUUCUGGUACCUGUUGUGUCGGCAACACACACGUCGUUGGUAUUUCGUGUACGUAUACUCUGUUCGCGUUCCAUUUCUUUCGAAUAGGU